rnacentral:rRNA from 1 species
CAACAACAGACUCGGUGAAAUUGGAAUGCCGGUGAAGAGCCCGGAUACCUGCGACAGGACGGAAAGACCCCAUGGAGCUUUACUGUAGCUUGACAUUGGGUCUUGGUACUACAUGUACAGGAUAGGUGGGAGGCUUUGAAACCAGGACGCCAGUUUUGGCGGAGCCAUCCUUGGGAUACCACCCUUGUAGUACUGGGACUCUAACCAUAGGCCAUGAAUCUGGUCUUGGGACACUGUCAGGUGGGCAGUUUGACUGGGGCGGUCGCCUCCCAAAAGGUAACGGAGGCGCUCAAAGGUUCUCUCAGUACGGUCGGAAAUCGUACGUAGAGUGUAAAGGCAAAAGAGAGCUUGAUUGCAAGACAUACAGGUCGAGCAAGGAUGAAAAUCGGACUUAGUGAUCCGGUGGUUCUGCGUGGAAGGGCCAUCGCUCAACGGAUAAAAGCUACCCUGGGGAUAACAGGCUUAUCUCCCCCAAGAGUCCACAUCGACGGGGAUGUUUGGCACCUCGAUGUCGGCUCAUCACAUCCUGGGGCUGUAGUAGGUCCCAAGGGUUGGGCUGUUCGCCCAUUAAAGUGGUACGCGAGCUGGGUUCAGAACGUCGUGAGACAGUUCGGUCCCUAUCCGUCGCAGGCGUAGGAAAUUUGAGAAGACCUGUCCUUAGUACGAGAGGACCGGGAUGGACGUACCUCUGGUGUACCAGUUGUCCUGCCAAGGGUAUGGCUGGGUAGCUAUGUACGGAAUGGAUAAGCGCUGAAAGCAUCUAAGCGCGAAGCCAACUUCAAGAUAAGAUUUCCCACCGCAAGGGUAAGACCCCAGAAAGACUAUCUGGUUGAUAGGUCGAAGGUGUAAGUGCAGCAAUGUAUUUAGCUUAUCGAUACUAAUAGGUCGAGGACUUGACCAAU